rnacentral:misc_RNA from 1 species
AGAGAAAAACAAUACAUGGGAAUCGGUAGAACUUCCCAAGGGGCAAAAAUCCAUUAGAGUUAAAUGGAUUUAUAAAACAAAGUUGAACAAAGAUGGCAACCUAGACAAAUAUAAGGUGCGACUUGUUGUGAAGGGAUACAAACAAGAACUUGGUGUUGACCACAAGGAGGUGUUUGCUCUAGUUGCAAGGCUGGACACUGUUUGAUUGGUACUAUCCAUGGCUGCCCAUAAUUCCUGGUCCAUCUAUCAAUUAGAUGUGAAGUCAGCAUUUUUACAUGGUAAGCUACAAGAAGAAGCGCAUGUUGACCAGCCUCUUGGAUAUGUGAAGAAAGGUAAUGAGGAAAAGGUAUACAAAAUAAAAAGGCUUUAUACGGACUAAAGCAAGCUCCAAGAGCUUGGUAUAGUCGUAUAGAUGCCUAUUUUACUAAAGAAGGUUUUCUUAAAUGUCCUCAUGAACAUACUCUUUUUACAAAGCCUGGUGAUAAUGGUUCAAUGCUUGUAGUAUGU